AUGAAGCUGAGGAGGAGGCUGAGUUUUUGUAGAAGCUGUAACCAGUGUGAUACCUCAGGCUGGAUCAAGAAAUUUGGAAGAGGAACUAAACUCAUAGUAACUCCCUCAGAUGUACGCCUUCCUGCAGACAUUUCCCCUAAGCCCACCAUUUUUCUUCCUUCAAUUGCUGAAAUAAAGCUCCAUAAGGCUGGAACAUAUCUUUGUCUUCUUGAGAAAUUCUUCCCUGAGGUUAUUAAGAUCUAUUGGAAAGAAAAGGAUGGCAAUACAAUCCUGCAAUCCCAGCAGGGAAAUACCACGAAGACUGAUAACACUUACAUGAAAUUCAGCUGGCUGACCGUGACUGGAAAGUCAAUGGAUAAAGAACACAAAUGUGUUGUCCAACACGAGAAAAAUAAAGACGGGGUUGACCAAGAGAUUCUUUUCCCAUCAGUGAAUGAAGUCCUCAACUCAAGUCUCCCUGAUACUCCUUCUACAGAAGCUUCCCCAGUAAAGGAACGUGAGUCCUCUGCUAUUAAUACCACAAAAGUUUGUCUGAAAGCUGAAAGCAACACUGUGCAGAUGCAGCUCACCAGCACCUCUGCCUAUUACACCUACCUCCUCCUACUCGUCAAGAGCGCGGUCUACCUUGCCAUCAUUGCCCUCUGCCUGUUUAGGAGAGCAGCGGUCUGUGGCGAUGGAAAGAGUUCGUAACAGAUGGUGGCACAAUGAAGUCAACAUUUAUUCAUCAUUUUUUUGUCCCUGGAAUUGUCUCCUGAGCAUCAAGCUGGGCUUUCUCUCUGGGUUAGUGUUAUGUCAGUUCACAUGUGUACUUUUCUGUUAUGCCAUUAUUUUGUGAUGGUUUUUCAAACCGCUUGAAACAGAAACAUUUUUUCUGUAACAGCAAUGAAUUCUGCCAUUACUUAGUGGCAGGGCCAUGGGUCGUCCUUUAGCACCACUCUCUGAAUGAUCUCCAUCAGCUCCUCCAGCAACCCGAAUAACCACGCCUUCCAAGUAGAGACAGCAUGCAGCUCUAGUCACAUCCUGUAGGGCCACGUAACCAGAUGACCACCUUGAAUCCUUCCAUUUUACACAUCCUGAAGCCACCAUCGCUGUUAGUUGAAUUCUGUAUUUUGUUUUUUAUUAUAGGCACAAUA